rnacentral:rRNA from 1 species
GACGAACGCUGGCGGCGUGCUUAACACAUGCAAGUCGAACGGUGAAGCGCCUUCCUUUUUGGUGGGUGUGGAUGAGUGGCGAACGGGUGAGUAACACGUGAGUAACCUGCCCCCUUCUUCUGGAUAACCGCAUGAAAGUGUGGCUAAUACGGGAUAUUCUGGGUCUGUCGCAUGAUGGGUCUGGGAAAGAUAUUGUUUCGGUGGGGGAUGGGCUCGCGGCCUAUCAGCUUGUUGGUGGGGUGAUGGCCUACCAAGGCGGUGACGGGUAGCCGGCCUGAGAGGGUGGACGGUCACACUGGGACGGAGGCACGGACCAGACUCCGACGGGAGGCAGCAGGGGGGAAUAUUGCAAAAUGGGCGCAAGCCUGAUGCAGCGACGCCGCGUGAGGGAUGGAGGCCUUCGGGUUGUGAACCUCUUUCGCCAGUGAAGCAGGCCUGCCUCGUUUGUGGGUGGGUUGACGGUAGCUGGAUAAGAAGCGCCGGCUAACUACGUG